rnacentral:rRNA from 1 species
GAUGAACGCUGGCGGCGUGCCUAAUACAUGCAAGUCGAGCGAACAGACGAGGAGCUUGCUCCUCUGACGUUAGCGGCGGAGGGGUGAGUAACACGUGGAUAACCUACCUAUAAGACUGGGAUAACUUCGGGAAACCGGAGCUAAUACCGGAUAAUAUAUUGAACCGCAUGGUUCAAUAGUGAAAUACGGUUGUGCUGUCACUUAUAGAUGGAUCCGCGCCGCAUUAGCUAGUUGGUAAGGGAACGGCUUAACAAGGCAACGAGGCGUAGCCGACCUGAGAGGGUGAUCGCACACCUGGGCACGGAGACACGGCCAAGACUCUUAGGGGGGGAGGCGGUGGGGAAUCUUCCGCAAUGGGGGAAAGCCGGACGGAGCAACGCGGGGGGAGUGAUGAAGGUCUUCGGAUCGUAAAACUCUGUUAUUAGGGAAGAAGAAAUGUGUAAGUAACUAUGCACGUCUUGACGGUACCUAAUCAGAAAGCCACGGCUAACUACGUG